ACCGCUUACCUUGACAGAGAAACUCUUUCUGGGUCUGCUGCCAGCCACGUCUCCUCCUCCUGACUUUGCUCGGGCUGCCUUUUCCCAGAACUCCAGCUGUUUCAGACCCCAGGAUCCCUGCAUGUGCUGUGACCCUGCCUGACAGGGUCUUGUUAAGCUGCUCAGGCUGGACUCACACUUGCCUCCUCCCAGGGGAGUUCCCAAGUCACAGGAUCACAGGUGCGUGCCGAGCUUUUUUAAAAAAUAUUCUAUUAUUGUUUUAAAUUUUUUUCUUAGUUGUAGUUGGACACAAUACCUUUAUUUUAUUUUUAUGGGGUGCUAAGGAUCGAACCCAGCGCCAGUACCAAGCUUCUUAAAGGCAGAGACAAGCCUACUUGUCCUGGGGCAGGUCAGCUCCCCACCUAGGAGCCAAUGAAGGCUCAGGAAAUGCUAAUCAGUCUGAUGUCAGAGUGCCUGAGACCUCGGUGUCCACCAUGGAGAUGCACCUGUCCUCCCCCACCUCCCCGUCCCCUGGCACUGGGCCAUGAGCCGCUCCUUCCAGGCUGCCCCCCCUCACCUCAGCUGCGGUUUCCCUUUCCUACCUGGGGGAACCAGGUUUGAAAGACCCAGGAAGUAGUGGGGUCUGCCUCCCCACACUGAAGAAGUCGGGUGCUCCUAGGCUCCCAGGACUGAAGAGAGGAGGCCGCCGUGGGGACAGAGACCCCUGGUGGCAGCUGGCCACAGUGUGCCUGGAGGGUGGGUUUUCUCUGCGUCCUGGGGAUGUAUGGUGCGAAUGUGAGCCUGGAUGCGGAAGACCCACACCUGCACUGAGGCUGCUGCCUCUGAAGCAGAAUCUCGAGGUUUUCUCGCGGUGCACACUGGGCAUCCACUUGGAGCUUGGACGUCUGGGACCUCCGUGAACAAGGAGCCACAGCAUGAAGGCUGUCCCCUUCAGCCACACCUGAGAGAAGCCCAGUGCUGUCCUUGGUACUGAGGAGAGAGGGAGGUUCUGGGAGGCCACAUUGCUCCUGAUGGGAAAGCCAGGCCAGACCCACCUGGCUACUCUAACUAGUGAGCAGAGCACACAGGGAGUGGGGUGGGUGUGGCCACAGGAGUCUGGGAGGGGUGGCCUAUUCUCAUUUAGAUUUCCCUGAGUGGGGCCGGCCACAUCCCAACAGGCCAUCAGCUGUGCCCACAGUCCUGGGGAUGCCUUUGGUCCUCUCCUCCUAGGGCCUUGGCCAGGGUGCUGUGACGCAGGAACACACAGGCAUGUGGGGGAAGCAGAGAGGAGAGGGGGCUCCACUGAUGGGAACCCCACAAGAGAAGUGGGGCCAUGGCUCCCGGCCUCCAGGAUCAGCUGCUGCCUGACAGUGAUGGAGAGCCAAGAACACAGAGGGUGAUAGAUAACAAGGGUGAACCAGGAAGUGGAGGAUCGGAUACUCACACUGCUGAUGGGAAUGUGAAAUGGCGCAGCCACUGCAAAGCCACCUGGAAGUUCCUACAAAGCCUCAGGGAGGGCCCACAGGACCCAGGCGUUCUCCUCCUACGUUGUGCUCCAGGGAUAUAAGAAACACGUCCACUUAUGAGAUAUCUUGUGCCAGGAUCCUCACUGCAGCCAAAUACGGUGAACAACUCACAAGUCUAACGACUGAUGAAUGGGUACACACAGUGUGGUACAUUCACCACAGCUGCACUGUCACAUGGAAAAGGAAAUCAGUCUUGGGCUGGGGCCGGGGCUCAGUGGUAGAGUGCUUGCCUAGCAUGUGUGAGGC